CCUUCGGUAGCUCAGAUGGUAGAGCGGAGGACUGUAGUGGAAUUACCUAAACUGUAAUCCUUAGGUCACUGGUUCGAUUCCGGUCCGAAGGA